GCCGACGUAGCUCAAUCGGCAGAGCAGCCGCCUUGUAAGCGGCAGGUUACGGGUUCAAUUCCCGUCGUCGGCU
rnacentral:tRNA from 1 species